rnacentral:rRNA from 1 species
GACGAACGCUGGCGGCGUGCUUAACACAUGCAAGUCGAACGGAAAGGCCCUGCUUUUGUGGGGUGCUCGAGUGGCGAACGGGUGAGUAACACGUGAGUAACCUGCCCUUGACUUUGGGAUAACUUCAGGAAACUGGGCUAAUACCGGAUAGGAGCUCCUGCUGCAUGGUGGGGGUUGGAAAGUUUCGGCGGUUGGGGAUGGACUCGCGGCUUAUCAGCCUGUUGGUGGGGUAGUGGCUUACCAAGGCUUUGACGGGUAGCCGGCCUGAGAGGGUGACCGGCGACAUUGGGACUGAGAUACGGCCCAGACGCCUACGGGAGGCAGCAGUGGGGAAUAUUGCACAAUGGGCGGAAGCCUGAUGCAGCAACGCCGCGUGCGGGAUGACGGCCUUCGGGUUGUAAACCGCUUUCGCCUGUGACGAAGCGUGAGUGACGGUAAUGGGUAAAGAAGCACCGGCUAACUACGUG